GUGUCAGCCGCCGCGGUAAUACAGAGGUCCCAAGCGUUGUUCGGAUUUACUGGGCGUAAAGGGAGCGUAGGUGGCAUUCUAAGUCUGAUGUGAAAGCUCUGAGCUUAACUCAGAAAUGGCAUUAGAUACUAGUUUGCUUGAGGAUUGGAGGGGAGAUUGGAAUUCUUGGUGUAGCAGUGAAAUGCGUAGAUAUCAAGAGGAACACCAGUGGCGAAGGCGAAUCUCUGGACAAUUCCUGACACUGAUGCUCGAAAGCUAGGGGAGCAAACGGGAUUAGAAACCCUCGUAGUCC
rnacentral:rRNA from 1 species